rnacentral:rRNA from 1 species
UACAGAGGUGGCAAGCGUUGUUCGGAAUUACUGGGCGUAAAGGGCGCGUAGGCGGCCAUCUAAGUCAGACGUGAAAUCCCCCGGCUUAACCUGGGAACUGCGUCUGAUACUGGAAGGCUUGAGUAUGGGAGAGGGAUGUAGAAUUCCAGGUGUAGCGGUGAAAUGCGUAGAUAUCUGGAGGAAUAUCGGUGGCGAAGGCGGCAUCCUGGACCAUUACUGACGCUGAGGCGCGAAAGCUAGGGGAGCAAACGGG